GGCUGAAGCAGGUCCCAAGGGUUGGGCUGUUCGCCCAUUAAAGCGGUACGCGAGCUGGGUUUAGAACGUCGUGAGACAGUUCGGUCCCUAUCCUCUGUAGCCGUAGGAGAUUUGAGAAAAGCUGUCCCUAGUACGAGAGGACCGGGAUGGACGCAGCUCUCGUGUGCCAGUUGUUCCGCCAGGAGCAUCGCUGGUUGGCGACCUGCGGGAAGGAUAAGCGCUGAAAGCAUCUAAGCGCGAAACCUGUUUCGAGAUGAGAUCUCCCACUGGAUAACCAGGUAAGGCCCGUGGCAGAACACCACGUUGAUAGGCCGGAUGUGUAAGCGCGGCGACGCGUUCAGCAGACCGGUACUAAUCGGCCGAGGGCUUGGGCUC
rnacentral:rRNA from 1 species